rnacentral:rRNA from 1 species
AGGAUGAACGCUGGCGGUCUGCUUAACACAUGCAAGUCGAACGGGCGUAGCAAUACGUUAGUGGCGGACGGGUGAGUAACGCGUGAGAAUCUACCUUCAGGACGGAGACAACAGUUGGAAACGACUGCUAACCCCCGAUGUACUGAAAAGGCAAAUAUUUAUAGCCUGAAGAAGAGCUCGCGUCCGAUUAGCUAGUUUGAGAGGUAAAAGCUCACCAAGGCGACGAUCGGUAGCUGGUCUGAGAGGACGAUCAGCCACACUGGGACUGAGACACGGCCCAGACUCCUACGGGAGGCAGCAGCGGGGAAUUUCCGCAAUGGGCGAAAGCCUGACGGAGCAAGACCGCGUGGGGAAGAAGGCUCUUGGGUUGUAAACCCCUUUUCUCUGGGAAGAAAGUUGUGAAAGCAGCCUGACGGUACCAGAGGAAUCAGCAUCGGCUAACUCCGUGCCAGCAGCCGC